rnacentral:rRNA from 1 species
AGCAGGCGGUGCUAUACAUGCAGUCGAGCGGACAGAUGGGAGCUUGCUCCCUGAUGUUAGCGGCGGACGGGUGAGUAACACGUGGGUAACCUGCCUGUAAGACUGGGAUAACUCCGGGAAACCGGGGCUAAUACCGGAUGGUUGUUUGAACCGCAUGGUUCAGACAUAAAAGGUGGCUUCGGCUACCACUUACAGAUGGACCCGCGGCGCAUUAGCUAGUUGGUGAGGUAACGGCUCACCAAGGCGACGAUGCGUAGCCGACCUGAGAGGGUGAUCGGCCACACUGGGACUGAGACACGGCCCAGACUCCUACGGGAGGCAGCAGUAGGGAAUCUUCCGCAAUGGACGAAAGUCUGACGGAGCAACGCCGCGUGAGUGAUGAAGGUUUUCGGAUCGUAAAGCUCUGUUGUUAGGGAAGAACAAGUGCCGUUCAAAUAGGGCGGCACCUUGACGGUACCUAACCAGAAAGCCACGGCUAACUACGUGCCAGCAGCCGCGGUAAUACGUAGGUGGCAAGCGUUGUCCGGAAUUAUUGGGCGUAAAGGGCUCGCAGGCGGUUUCUUAAGUCUGAUGUGAAAGCCCCCGGCUCAACCGGGGAGGGUCAUUGGAAACUGGGGAACUUGAGUGCAGAAGAGGAGAGUGGAAUUCCACGUGUAGCGGUGAAAUGCGUAGAGAUGUGGAGGAACACCAGUGGCGAAGGCGACUCUCUGGUCUGUAACUGACGCUGAGGAGCGAAAGCGUGGGGAGCGAACAGGAUUAGAUACCCUGGUAGUCCACGCCGUAAACGAUGAGUGCUAAGUGUUUAGGGGUUUCCGCCCCUUAGUGCUGCAGCUAACGCAUUAAGCACUCCGCCUGGGGAGUACGGUCGCAAGACUGAAACUCAAAGGAAUUGACGGGGGCCCGCACAAGCGGUGGAGCAUGUGGUUUA